GCGAGGAGACACGGGGUUCGUAUCGUAAAGGAUACAACGCACUUCGGAUAGGGAAGCUGCAUUUGGAACAUCGAAGGAGAACACGGUAAAAAAAAGUCAAAGGUCGAAUUGUAGCCCUUUAGCGGAGUGGCUGAACCAGUGGUUGGCAUUACAGACCGAAGAAAGCGCUCUAUAAAACCGAGAGAGAGCUGCGUAAACACCCAUCUCUCAUUGACCAUCUCUCAAAGCUCACGGAAAGAAAAUUAAUGCAACCAGAUACACGGAAAACGGGUCAUAUUUUUCCCGGUGUGAAAUCUGGAGUGCGGAAAACAGGAAAGUACGAGUUUGAUGGAUUCUUUUUCUGGCUGAAAAAUUUCCUGAAAUCACAG